rnacentral:rRNA from 1 species
GUGUCAGCAGCCGCGGUAAUACGUAGGGUGCAAGCGUUGUCCGGAAUUAUUGGGCGUAAAGAGCUCGUAGGCGGUUUGUCGCGUCGAAUGUGAAAACCCGGGGCUCAACCCCGGGCCUGCAUUCGAUACGGGCAGACUAGAGUUCGGUAGGGGAGUCUGGAAUUCCUGGUGUAGCGGUGAAAUGCGCAGAUAUCAGGAGGAACACCGGUGGCGAAGGCGGGACUCUGGGCCGAUACUGACGCUGAGGAGCGAAAGCGUGGGGAGCAAACAGGAUUAGAUACCCCCGUAGUCC